AUUGAACGCUGGCGGCAUGCCUUACACAUGCAAGUCGAACGGCAGCACGGGAGCAAUCCUGGUGGCGAGUGGCGAACGGGUGAGUAAUAUAUCGGAACGUGCCCAGUCGUGGGGGAUAACGCAGCGAAAGCUGUGCUAAUACCGCAUACGAUCUACGGAUGAAAGCGGGGGAUCGCAAGACCUCGCGCGAUUGGAGCGGCCGAUAUCAGAUUAGCUAGUUGGCGGGGUAAAGGCCUACCAAGGCGACGAUCUGUAGCUGGUCUUAGAGGACGACCGGCCACACUGGAACUGAGACACGGUCCAGACUCCUACGGGAGGCAGCAGUGGGGAAUUUUGGACAAUGGGCGCAAGCAUGAUCCAGCAAUGCCGCGUGCAGGAUGAAGGCCUUCGGGUUGUAAACUGCUUUUGUACGGAACGAAACGGUGAGCUCUAAUACAGUUUGCUAAUGACGGUACCGUAAGAAUAAGCACCGGCUAACUACGUGCCAGCAGUCGCCGUAA
rnacentral:rRNA from 1 species